rnacentral:tRNA from 1 species
CGGGACGUAGCUCAGCCUGGUAGAGCACCUGGUUUGGGACCAGGACGUCGCAGGUUCAAAUCCUGUCGUCCCGACCA